CAGGGGCUAAAGGAACAAGCUAAUGACACCAAGAGGAAUCAGUCAGAUAAAUCUAUAAUGAAGGACAUUCAUUGCAUGAAACAAUUGUUCUAUGGUCUUCCAAAAGGCAUUGUCAUUGGAAAACAAAAAGUACUAGGACCAUUCUAGACUAAAGGAGAUGGACUAUCGAGACCAAACCAGUGGCAAUAAGGGAAACCAGAUUGGACCCUUGUUAAACAAACAAAAUUAUAAAGGUCAUGUUUGGGACAAUUAGAGAAACUUUAGAGUCUAUAUAUUAUUAUGGUGUGGAAAUCAUUUUCAAGGAGAUUAUUCUAACCUUAGGAGAUACAUGCUAAAGUAUUUAGGGGCAAAGAUGUUCAAAUAUAUAUACUUUGGCGAGGCUCGGUGGCUUGUGCCUGUAAUCCCAGCACUUUGGGAGGCCAAGGUAGGAGGAUCACUUGACCUGAAAAGUUUGAGAUCAGCCUAGCUAACAUGGUGAAACCCCAUCUCUACUAAAAGUACAAACAUUAGCUGGGUGUGGUGGUGCACAUCUGUAAUCCCAGCUACUUGGGAGACUGAGGCACCAGAAGUACUUGAG
rnacentral:lncRNA from 1 species